CUGGAAGAGGCAAGGAGGGAUUCUCCCCUGCAGAUCUUUGUAGGAUGGCCAUGUUUGGUUAAGAAGUAUGACAGAUGAGCACAGAUGUUUUGCAAAUAUUGCUGACAACAAAAAAUAUAAAACUACUGAGGAUACACAUUCUAAGGCUAUAGUCACACUGGAUGACAUCUCCAAAUUCUUGGUUGCCCUUUGAUACCUUUGCUGGGAAGUAUGGGCCAUAAGUUGAAAUUCUCCCUGCAAAGCAAGAAUCUAGCUAUUUGGAGGGUGCCUGGGUGGCUCAGUGGGUUAAGCCUCUGCCUUCA